AUGAACCUUUGAGGGGUUGAGCUGGCGUUUAUUCGCAUGUGCUUGCCCUCUCAUCCUUUAUACACCUGUGCACUUUUUGAAGGGAGACAUUAGUAGACAUUCACUUGUCGAAGGUAUCUCCCUUUACACUACAUACUCUAAUGAUUACUUUGAAUGUUUAAACGCUUAACAGCAUUUAAUUA
rnacentral:misc_RNA from 1 species